rnacentral:rRNA from 1 species
UACGAAGGGGGCGAGCGUUGUUCGGAUUUACUGGGCGUAAAGGGCGCGCAGGCGGCUCAUUUUGUCAGGCGUGAAAGCCCCGGGCUUAACCUGGGAACUGCGUUUAAUACGGAUGGGCUAGAGUUCGGGAGAGGAGAGUGGAAUUCCCAGUGUAGAGGUGAAAUUCGUAGAUAUUGGGAAGAACACCGGUGGCGAAGGCGGCUCUCUGGACCGAUACUGACGCUGAGGCGCGAAAGCGUGGGGAGCAAACAGG